UACGUAGGGUGCGAGCGUUGUCCGGAAUUAUUGGGCGUAAAGAGCUCGUAGGCGGUCUGUCGCGUCGGUCGUGAAAACUUGGGGCUUAACCCUGAGCUUGCGGUCGAUACGGGCAUGACUGGAGUUCGGCAGGGAGACUGGAAUUCCUGGUGUAGCGGUGAAAUGCGCAGAUAUCAGGAGGAACACCGGUGGCGAAGGCGGCUCACUGGCCCGAUACUGACGCUGAGGCACGAAAAGCGUGGGGGAGCAAAACAGG
rnacentral:rRNA from 1 species